AGGCUUUGAUCCUGGCUCAGAUUGAACGCUGGCGGCAUGCCUUACACAUGCAAGUCGAACGGCAGCGCGGGAGCAAUCCUGGCGGCGAGUGGCGAACGGGUGAGUAAUAUAUCGGAACGUGCCCAGUAGUGGGGGAUAGCCCGGCGAAAGCCGGAUUAAUACCGCAUACGACCUACGGGUGAAAGGGGGGGAUCGCAAGACCUCUCGCUAUUGGAGCGGCCGAUAUCAGAUUAGGUAGUUGGUGGGGUAAAGGCCUACCAAGUCCUGCGAUCUGUAGUUGGUCUGAGAGGACGACCAGCCACACUGGGACUGAGACACGGCCCAGACUCCUACGGGAGGCAGCAGUGGGGAAUUUUGGACAAUGGGCGCAAGCCUGAUCCAGCAAUGCCGCGUGCAGGAAGAAGGCCUUCGGGUUGUAAACUGCUUUUGUCAGGGAAGAAAUCCUCUGGGUUAAUACCUCGGGGGGAUGACGGUACCUGAAGAAUAAGCACCGGCGUA
rnacentral:rRNA from 1 species